AAUCAACGCUAGCGGCGUGCCUAACACAUGCAAGUCGAACGGGAAAACGGGGGCAACCCCGUGAGUACAGUGGCGUACGGGUGAGUAACACGUGACUAACCUACCUUCGAGUGGGGGAUAACCCCGGGAAACCGGGGCUAAUACCGCAUAACAUCGUAAGAUCAAAGGAGCAAUCCGCUUGAAGAGGGGGUCGCGGCUGAUUAGCUAGUUGGUAGGGUAAUGGCCUACCAAGGCGAUGAUCGGUAGCCGGCCUGAGAGGGCGCACGGCCACACUGGAACUGAAACACGGUCCAGACUCCUACGGGAGGCAGCAGUGGGGAAUUUGCGCAAUGGGGGAAACCCUGACGCAGCAACGCCGCGUGGAGGAUGAAGUCCCUUGGGACGUAAACUCCUUUCGACCGGGACGAUUAUGACGGUACCGGUGGAAGAAGCCCCGGCUAACUUCGUGCCAGCAGCCGCA
rnacentral:rRNA from 1 species